AUUGCUUCCACCUGCUCCUGCCCUGCCAGAUCCCUAACCACCUUACCUGCUCCACCUGUGCUACUGCCUUUUAAGCAGCUUUCUGUCAGGCAAUCAUUGCCAGAUUUUUGAAGGCCUUUGUGCGUUCCUGCCAAAGUUUUUAAAUGUCCGUCCCUUCUGACUUGUCACUGACCAGGCUGAGGACAUUUAAGGGAUCUGGUGAUUUUCUUCUUUUGUUGAACGUGAUAUAUAUACUAAACAAGCAAAGGAUGCGAUGCAAGACAAACUGCAGCUUCAAAGAUGGAACAAGUACUGGUGACACAAUUGAGUCUGAGUUGUUUGGAAACCUUGCUGUUUUUGAGGUUCAGAUGACCCCUAUUACAACAGGAAUUGCAGUUCCAGCCAAAUCAUAUCAACCAGAACCUAUCAACCAAUACACUUUUGGUGACUGGAGAUGUAUCAUAUUGUCCAGCAAGUGAGCUCAAUGAGUAAAGAAGUGUUCUUUCUCUGUGACCUUAAAGAUCUUCACAGAUGUGAACUUUAGCUAAAACACUGUCUGCUAGGGGUUGCUUUGCACAUGAUUGGUAUUUUAAACACAUAAAUCUAUUUAACGAAAUCCGGUUUACACUGAAUUUUGGCAUACUGAAGGUUUAGUAUUCAGUCUAACCAUGAUCCAAAAUAAAUUAUUUUGUUUAAAAUUAAAUAAACUUAAGCUUUAUGAUUACUUAAUUUGUCUAAUAAAAGAGACCAGGACUGCUGCCAGUGGCUUCAAAUACAAGGAUACUGUAACAUUUUAGAAUGUCUGGAAAACAUCAUUAUUUUGGGAGACUAGCGCGAUUCUUUAAGAAAGAUGCCUUGCUUUGGCUAACUAAGAGUUUAUUUAGGCUUAAUAAUAAAUCAAGCGAUCAUCUGAAGUGGGCCAGAAAACAAAGAGUCUUGAUAAGUUAAAGUCCAAAUGUUCAUGCUACAGAAUGAAUGUUCAGUUGAUAUACUAGCUAUGGUGAAGGUUAAUAAACAAAUCUGUCAACUUUUUCCACUUAGACAAAAGAUAUAACCCUUUAUUUGGAAUAUAUAAGAUUAGAAUAAAAUAAAAUAUCCUUUAUUGUCUGUGUCAUGAGUACAAUACAAUUGAGAAAAAGCUAUAUGAUUAUUGCAUAAGAUCAGUUUGCUAAAAACAGUUUGUUUAAAACAUGUACCCACUGUGACAGUGUCUAUGCAGGUCUUUGUGUAACAUAGAACACUGUUAAUAGAAACCUCCAGGUCUUCAAAAAUCUCUCAGUAGGUACUGUUGAACCAUCCUGCAGAUGAUGGAAUACUUCCCUUGGCCAAGUUUUGUCAAUUUUUUGUGAUGGUAAGAGCAGUUUUCCUGAAGGGUGACGUAAUCAGGACUAAAAAACAGGAACAAGUGGUCAGACUGGUCCAGGUGUCCUAGCUUUGUAACCCAGCUUGAUGUGACUGUAAAUCUUAUCCAGUGUGUUAGCCUCUUCUGGUAACACACCUUUCAUGCUAGUGGAAUUUGGGGAGAACUGCCUGUAAGUCUGCAUGCAAGUUUAUGCAAAAACCACCAGCCCCUUCUUGUGAAGUCGGUAACAACCCCAUCUAAUAGCAGUCAAACCCAAUAGAAACCCUAAGUAAAGAAAGCUGUAGAAAUGAAUAUUCUAUGUUUCAUAAGCUUUGAUGCAAAAAAACAUCAAGGCAAGUGAUUACAGGAAUGCACAAAUUCAUCAAACACUCAAGUCCAAAGAGUUCCCUAACUUAAUGAGUACAUAAUAUUGCAUUUCUAAUGUGAUUAGUUUGUUUUGCAAAUGGAAAAUGCAAGAUGUGUUCAUCCCCCCCAUGUGUAUGUUUUAGAGAUAAUCUGCAUAAAUAAUGCUGAAAUCAAAUACGUAAUCAAUACAUUUUCUUGUUUUAUAUGAAAAUAUCUUCUGUGUAAUGGGUCUCAUUGCCCUCAGCUGUUAGCUUAUGGCAGGAUAUAUUUUCUUUAUAUCUCAUUUUGACUGACUCUCCUUACUUGCUGUGGCUUAUUGAUGUAAUUUGUUGAGAUUUGUGUUUGAUUGACUAAAGAGAUGCCUCAUGCAGUCACUUGGUAAUUUCUGCAAUACAUUUUUGACAAAUGUUCCCCUUUAUGAAGCCAUUUUCAUGAAGAAGCAACCAGAUGGUUUUGUGUAACAAACCAUCUUGUGUCUGUUAAAUGCCCUUUAAAUUUUUUCUGGCACUCUCAUGUUAUUGAUA